UGGGGAAUUUUGGACAAUGGGCGAAAGCCUGAUCCAGCAAUGCCGCGUGUGUGAAGAAGGCCUUCGGGUUGUAAAGCACUUUUGUCCGGAAAGAAAUCCUUGGCUCUAAUACAGUCGGGGGAUGACGGUACCGGAAGAAUAAGCACCGGCUAACUACGUGCCAGCAGCCGCGGUAAUACGUAGGGUGCAAGCGUUAAUCGGAAUUACUGGGCGUAAAGCGUGCGCAGGCGGUUUGCUAAGACCGAUGUGAAAUCCCCGGGCUCAACCUGGGAACUGCAUUGGUGACUGGCAGGCUAGAGUAUGGCAGAGGGGGGUAGAAUUCCACGUGUAGCAGUGAAAUGCGUAGAGAUGUGGAGGAAUACCGAUGGCGAAGGCAGCCCCCCUGGGCCAAUACUGACGCUCAUGCACGAAAGCGUGGGGAGCAAAACAGGAUUAGAUACCCUGGUAGUCCACGCCCUAAACGAUGUCAACUAGUUGUUGGGGAUUCAUUUCCUUAGUAACGUAGCUAACGCGUGAAGUUGACCGCCUGGGGAGUACGGUCGCAAGAUUAAAACUUAAAGGAAUUGACGGGGUCAUAGCUGUUUCCU
rnacentral:rRNA from 1 species